CUCCAGACUCCUACGGGAGGCAGCAGUGAGGAAUAUUGGUCAAUGGUCGGGAGACUGAACCAGCCAAGCCGCGUGAGGGAGGAAGGUACAGAGUAUCGUAAACCUCUUUUGUCAGGGGACAAAGACUGGGACGCGUCCCCGGAUGAGUGUACCUGAAGAAAAAGCAUCGGCUAACUCCGUGCCAGCAGCCGCGGUAAUACGGAGGAUGCGAGCGUUAUCCGGAUUUAUUGGGUUUAAAGGGUGCGCAGGCGGAAUGUCAAGUCAGCGGUAAAAUUUCGGGGCUCAACCCCGUCGUGCCGUUGAAACUGGUUUUCUUGAGUGAGCGAGAAGUAUGCGGAAUGCGUGGUGUAGCGGUGAAAUGCAUAGAUAUCACGCAGAACUCCGAUUGCGAAGGCAGCAUACCGGCGCUCAACUGACGCUCAUGCACGAAAGUGUGGGUAUCGAACAGGAUUAGAUACCCCAGUA
rnacentral:rRNA from 1 species